rnacentral:tRNA from 1 species
AAGGGCUUAGCUUAAUUAAAGUAAUUGAUUUGCGUUCAGUAGAUGUAGGGUGUGGUCCUGCAGUCCUUA